rnacentral:rRNA from 1 species
GUCGAGAGGCUUCGGCAAUGGGGGAAACCCUGACCGAGCGACGCCGCGUGCAGGAUGAAGGCCCUUGGGUUGUAAACUGCUUUUGUUGGGGAAGAAAUGCGAUCAGGUUAAUAAUCUGGUCGUUUGACGGUACCCGACGAAUAAGCUCCGGCUAACUCCGUGCCAGCAGCCGCGGUAACACGGGGGGAGCAAGCGUUGUUCGGAAUCACUGGGCGUAAAGGGCGUGUAGGCGGUCAGGUAAGUGGAAUGUGAAAGCCCCCGGCUCACCCGGGGAUCUGCAUCCCAUACUGCCUGGCUUGAGUACGGGAGAGGAUAGGGGAAUUCCUGGUGUAGCGGUGAAAUGCGUAGAUAUCAGGAGGAACACCGGUGGCGAAGGCGCCUAUCUGGCCCGAUACUGACGCUGAGGCGCGAAAGCUAGGGGAGCAAACGGGAUUAGAUACCCGUGUAGUCC